rnacentral:lncRNA from 1 species
GGUCUUCAAGAGGCCUUGUAAUUACUCUUGUAAGUCCCAGAGAGAAGUCACCAGAAUUAUUAGGGCAACUAAGGCCUCUGCAGGCUGAAUCAUUUCCCCAGAUGGUGCCCUCUGCUAUUAAGGUUAGCUUUGGACACAAGAACCAGGCAUCAUCAGCAACAAAACAGAGGGAUGAAACAUGGAAGCCAAAGACACUGCCAGGUGUUCACCUCAGCAACCCCAGCGAUCUCCCAGAGUGCCUGGGUAGGAAUUAGAAUUGACUGAACUUGGAAGGAAGGGUGCCCGGAUAAGGAGAGGCACAGUGCAUGUUCCUGAAAAGUGGCAAACUCUUCAGAAAGGCUUUGGUAAUGUAAUGGGAUAUGGGUGCGUGAGGUCCUUUAAGAAGCAGCCUCUGGCCUCCUUGCUGUCUUAGGCUCCUCUGCUUCCUCUACACUGGCCAGGCACACCUAUUUCCUGGAGUUGGAGAGAAAAUAGAAGUUGAGUAACAAGGACACUUGGGAGCUGUGGGCAGGAGACACUAAGCACUUAAGACUCAGAGUGGUCAAGGCCAUGUUGUUUGCAGCCAGGUGUCAGCCUGAGCUCCUAGAGGGGACCAGAGUCACAGAGAUUCAGAGAAGAGUAAUGUGGAGUUCCCAGGUCUGAAGGGAAGGCGGAGACUCUGAAGUUACAUGGUAGGAAAGUGCACCAGGCUGAAGGCGGAAAGGAGACCACUUCGUGUACGAUCCUCACCUCCCAGGCACCGUCUCUGCAAAGGCAUCUAUAGUGUAUAUCAGCAAAGCGAGGUUCCAGGGCUAUAGGGAGAUGUCAACAGCCACAUGACAGCACUCCAGGAAACGUCACAGUACUUCUCUCAAAAGAAGCAACAGAAAGUAGCUAGGCAUGACACCCACGGUAUUUCUGGAGCCCACUGAACACCUCUGAUGCUCUGAGGACAGGAGUUCCAACACCAGCUAGCUCACUUACAUGGCAGCUCACAGCAGAGAGCUGUGCCUAGUAGGUGUUGGACACAGGCUGGGUGUUUCAUAAACAUUCUCUCUGAGCUCCCAAACGUGAGUCAGCAACCCUAAUUUAAUUUUCAGUCAUAACUGGUGGAAAUUCACUUUAGUCUCUUACAUGAUUGGAUCCUGUAUUUGUGAAGGCCCAUGCCUGGUGGGACCAUUACAUCAUGUUGACAAUAUAAAUUAGACUGAUUAGGGGCUGACAACAUCGUUAAGAAUGAUAUACAAUUUAGUAGCUGGCAUUAUUGCCUGUUAAAUUUACACAUGACAAACUGCCUUCUAUCUUUGCCCAGUGAUAGUUGGGCACCAACCCAAGUCACAGGAAAUGCCAUAGAGAGAACUAUAGACCAAUCAUUAGUUGUCCCUGGGAGGUCACUCAGCCCUCCCAGUCCUAUUGACAGACUGGCCUUGGGUGAAAUGAUGAAGGGGAGGAAGUAUAUCUUUCCACCCUUGGUACCCAAGGACAUCUCUCAGCUCCCAGAUCCCCAGCAGAGAAGUCAUCCUAGCACGUGGGAAAACUCUAAAAGGCUGGCUU